AUUGAACGCUGGCGGCAGGCCUAACACAUGCAAGUCGAGCGGAGCGGGGACGGGUGAGUAACACGUGGGUAAGCUCCCAUCAGAGGGGAUAACACUUGGAAACAGGUGCUAAACCGAUACUGAUGGAUGGACCCACGGUGCAUUAGAUAGUUGGGGAGGUAACGGCUCACCAAGGCCACGAUGCAUAGACGACCUGAGAGGGUGAUCGGACACACUGGGACUGAGACACGGCCCAGACUCCUACGGUAGGCAGCAGUAGGGAAUCGUCGGCAAUGGACGAAAGUCUGACCGAGCAACGCCGCGUGAGUGAAGAAGGUUUUCGGAUCGUAAAACUCUGUUGUUAGAGAAGCGGUAUCUAACCAGAAAGCCACGGCUAACUACGUGCCAGCCGCCGCGGUAAUAC
rnacentral:rRNA from 1 species